UUUGGUGCGUUCUGGCUACAGCUUCUUGGGGGUCUGAGAUUCGUAAAUCAUUUUGGCAAAAUGAAAGAAGCCCUCGAGCAUUUGAGAAAGAGAAAGGAAACCCAUCAGCUAGGGUUCGUGAAGAAAAGAAGGGUUCAGCUAGGGUUCGUGAAUCAGCAAUGAGAAGAAGAAGAAAGCAGCAGUUCGUUAUCUGAGUUGGUCGGAAGCAUGUGCGGAGCUUGAAUAGUUGGAGACCAGGUUCAGAGUUAGUUGAAGGCCAAACGAGAAGCUUCUGAUAGGUACAUUUUUUAUCUAGGAGGAGAUCAUUACACAAAAAGUUGUGCUUCCUCAAAUAUCUUUCCGAUCUAGGACAAAUCAUUUUUAGGAGGGAGCGUAUGAUGGAAUCCGUUUUGAGAACUAAAUGGAGAUCCAUGAAGGGAGCAUCAACUAAAGCUAAGGCUAGGAUAUUGGAAGAAGAAGAAGGACUUUCAAGCUUGUUCUUGUGUUCCCUUAAGCCUUAGAAGACAUUAGACCUCUCAUAAAGAGCCAUGGUCAAAGAAGAUGGAAGAAGAAGAUGGAGCUUGAAGGAUUCUAGUCUUAUGGACGGUCACAUUUUAGUCUUCUUCUUUAUCUUAAAACACAUUUUGUAAAUAUGUAAUAUAGCUCCUUUAUAGGCCUUGUAUUUGGCCAAGACACUUUGUUUAGCUUUGCUUAGAAGGUUUGAUGGCUUUAAGAGUUAAAAAUGGGUUAAAAAUGGGUUUUGGAAGGAGUUAGUUGCAAGGAGUCUUUGCAUUAAAUGCUUUGACUAAGUUAGUUACAAAGCAUAAAGCUUCUCACAUUUAAUGUUUAGCCUCCUCAUUUAAUGCUUAGGCUCCUCAUUUAAUGUUUAGGUUUCUCAUUUAAUGAUGAGGCUUCUUAUUAAAUGAUGAAAAGGCUCCUAAGUACUUCAUAUGUACUCUAGCCUUCUCUUUCACCUAUAAAAAGAGAGGCACCCUUUUGUAAUCCUUCUCUUCUUAAGUUCUCAUCUUAUGAAAUUGUCUUCUUCUAAA